AGGGUGUAAACGCUGCAGACUUGGUGUUGGAGGCCCUUUGGGGGCAUUCAGUGCCGGAGAGAAGUUGUUAAGUCUGCUACUUGGGGAGUACGUCCGCAAGGAUGAAACUUAAAGGAAUUGGCGGGGGAGCACCGCAACGGGAGGAGCGUGCGGUUUAAUUGGAUUCAACACCGUAAAACUCACCAGGGAAGACUGUUACAUGAAGGCCGAGAUGAAGACUCUGCUAGGUUUUCAGAGAGGUGGUGCAUGGCGUCAGUGACU
rnacentral:rRNA from 1 species